UACGAAGGGGGCUAGCGUUGUUCGGAAUUACUGGGCGUAAAGCGCGCGCAGGCGGCUAUCCAAGUCAGUGGUGAAAGCCCGGGGCUCAACUCCGGAACUGCCAUUGAAACUGUUUAGCUUGAGGACGAGAGAGGUGAGUGGAAUUCCCAGUGUAGAGGUGAAAUUCGUAGAUAUUGGGAAGAACACCGGUGGCGAAGGCGGCUCACUGGCUCGUAUCUGACGCUCAGGCGCGACAGCGUGGGGAUCAAACAGG
rnacentral:rRNA from 1 species